rnacentral:rRNA from 1 species
GAUGAACGCUGGCGGCGUGCCUAAUACAUGCAAGUCGAGCGAACCACUUCGGUGGUGAGCGGCGAACGGGUGAGUAACACGCAGGUGAUCUGCCCAUCAGACGGGGACAACGAUUGGAAACGAUCGCUAAUACCGGAUAGGACGAAAGUUUAAAGGUGCUUCUGGCACCGCUGGUGGAUGAGCCUGCGGCGCAUUAGCUAGUUGGUAGGGUAAAGGCCUACCAAGGCGACGAUGCGUAGCCGACCUGAGAGGGUGAACGGCCACUCUGGGACUGAGACACGGCCCAGACUCCUACGGGAGGCAGCAGUAGGGAAUCUUCGGCAAUGGGCGAAAGCCUGACCGAGCAACGCCGCGUGAAUGAUGAAGGCCUUCGGGUUGUAAAAUUCUGUUGUAAGGGAAGAACGACUUUAGUAGGAAAUGGCUAGAGUGUGACGGUACCUUAUGAGAAAGCCACGGCUAACUACGUGCCAGCCGCCGCAGUAA